rnacentral:rRNA from 1 species
GGGACAACAGUUGGAAACGACUGCUAAUACCGCAUAAGCCCACGACCCGGCAUCGGGUUGAGGGAAAAGGAGCAAUCCGCUUUGAGAUGGCCUCGCGUCCGAUUAGCUAGUUGGUGAGGUAACGGCCCACCAAGGCAACGAUCGGUAGCCGGACUGAGAGGUUGAACGGCCACAUUGGGACUGAGACACGGCCCAGACUCCUACGGGAGGCAGCAGUGGGGAAUAUUGCACAAUGGGGGAAACCCUGAUGCAGCGACGCCGCGUGGAGGAAGAAGGUCUUCGGAUUGUAAACUCCUGUUGUCGAGGAAGAUAAUGACGGUACUCAACAAGGAAGUGACGGCUAACUACGUGCCAGCAGCCGCGGUAAAACGUAGGUCACAAGCGUUGUCCGGAAUUACUGGGUGUAAAGGGAGCGCAGGCGGGAAGACAAGUUGGAAGUGAAAUCCAUGGGCUCAACCCAUGAACUGCUUUCAAAACUGUUUUUCUUGAGUAGUGCAGAGGUAGGCGGAAUUCCCGGUGUAGCGGUGGAAUGCGUAGAUAUCGGGAGGAACACCAGUGGCGAAGGCGGCCUACUGGGCACCAACUGACGCUGAGGCUCGAAAGUGUGGGUAGCAAACAGGAUUAGAUACCCUGGUAGUCCACACCGUAAACGAUGAUUACUAGGUGUUGGAGGAUUGACCCCUUCAGUGCCGCAG